AUGAGAGACACACAGAGAGGCAGAGACACAGGCAGAGGGAGAAGCAGGCUUUUGUGGGACUCGAUCCUGGGACCCCGAGAUCAUGUCCUGAGCCAAAGCCAGAUGCUCACCUACCGAGCCACCCAGGUGCCCCGCGUGUGUCUAGGCAUUUCUGCCUGUAUGCACAGGUGUCCUUUCAAUCUCUGUCCCGGCGUGUGCCUCCUGGUGCGUCCACACGGGUGCAUGCCUGCCCACCUCUGUCGGUAUCCAUGGACGUGGCUCCACGCCCUUCUGUUGGCACUGAGGCGCGCAUCACUGUCAGCACGUCUGUCCUCUCCAGGGCCUCUGUCUGGGUGUCCCUGGAUGUCGUAUCUGUUAAGUCUGCCCCGUACGUGCAUUAGCGAGUGCUUCUGGGGCUGUGCCCAUCGCCUGGUGCAUUUCUGGGGGUGCACCUCUACCUGCGAGGGUGUUGGGAUCUACCUCCGCCUGCAGGCGUGGCUGCAUCAAGAGCCGGCCCAGGCUGCGGUGGCGGUGACAGAUGAGCCUCGGAAGCCCGCUUCAGCCUCUGGAGGGGGGCUCCCUACGUUCCUCUCCCACGUGGACUCGGCCCCAGAGCCCCAGAGGCUCCCGGCUUUCUUAACGCGAGCUGUUGCCUCGCCCGCUGCAGGUGAGUCCUCACCCCAGCGGCAGCGAGAACCCGGGUCGCCUCCUCCUUCCCCUCGUGGCGCCCCUCCCAGCCCUCCUACCUGCUGGCGGGUAGCCUUUCCACCUGCUGGGACAGCUGCCGGCUUGGACUUCAGGGCACGUGUGCCCCUGCUCAGCGGUCUGUGUCUCGACGGUCCCUCUGCCAUCUCUGGAACGUUCCUGGGAUUUGACUGGGGGCUACUCCGCUCUUGCCCUGGCGAGACCGCCCUGCCCAGGUCCCUGGCUCAGUCCCGGGCCACUUCACUGGGAUGUGGAUCCCCGCACGGGCCGGCGGCUGUGCAGGGACGGGGUUCGGGGUCGGGGGUGGGGUGGGGGGCUUCCCUGUCUGCCCCGGGCUCCCAGGCCCUGGACCAGGACUGUGGUGGGUGGAUCAUUCCAGGGCCUCCGCUCUUCUCUUGCCAUCACCAUAUGCCUCCCCCUCCCCUUGCCAUCUCUUCCCUUCCCUGAUGGUUUUGAAUGGAAUGUCAAAUAAAAUAAAAAAAUUGAUUAAAAGUUGCAAACGGUGUGAGUGAAAAUAAAAGCACGUAAGACC
rnacentral:lncRNA from 1 species